UGCAAUGACAUCUGCCCCUGCUCAAGUCCUCUGCCCUUGGGAGGUCCCACGACAGGCCUUGGCUCCAACCUUCAGCACCCAAGACCCCAGGAUGGCCCAUACUCUCAGGGGCCCCUGCCCUGGCCCUGGCCCACUUUCCUGGUCAUGUUCUCUUAGGAGUGGCUUCUAGCUAUAAAAGCCCAGGUCCUGGCACAGGCUAGGUGCCUUCUGACUGUUGGUUGAUGCAGGAAUAGACAUGAUCAUGUGACUGCUGCCCUCCCUCCAACCCCCAUCCAGCAGGGAGAGGCCCACUCUGGCCUCUGGAAGCCGGAGAAGAGGCUCACCUGCCCAAAGGCCUUCUGUCCAAAGUUCAAGGGAGCCCCACCCCUCCCAGAUGCUCAGCUCACCCCACCCCCAACAGGCAGGGCUACAGUGUGGUGGGCACUGCCACACCCGGACCUGCCACAACCUCUUGGAGUCAGUGACAAGAACCAAACGCACCCCAGCCUCCACCCCUCCCCUUUCCUGCUUUUAUUAUUUUCUUUUCCAUAAAGAUUAGUCUGUGUUGCUCCUCUAUCAAGGCCUGGAGGAUAAACAUGUGGUCCGGAGGCAGAGAAACCCCAGGCCUGAAGGCCCCACUGCCCCCACCCCAGCAGCAUAAACCCAGGGCUUUUAAGCAAG
ensembl:lncRNA LINC01276 long intergenic non-protein coding RNA 1276